AUGCAACAUGAUGCCUACUUUUGAAUGCAGAAAGUUCAGCUUCAGACAUACAACAAAGAAUUAAAUAUUCAUGCAGCGUCCUCUUUUCAUUUCAGUUAACAGCCAAAUGAAAAAAAAGAAAAAAGAUAAUGAAAUGUUUAGGCUACAAAAGUCUUUGCAGUGAAGCACAAAGUUAAUGGUUCUACAGAUUUACCCUGUUAUGUGAAAAUGUUCACACUGGAUAAUAUAUUUUAAGGCUGACAACUGUGCAGAGCACUGAAAGGGAAAACAUGAUGUAUUCUUUACAAAUCACUAAGUGAAACUAGAUCAGACUGAUGAAAGCAGUGAAUAAUGAGUUACAGUGAUUACAUGUUGUAUGUGUUUUGGCACAUGCUAAAUCUUAUGUCAGGGGUGAAGCAGGAAGGCCAAGACAAGAAGAUUUAACAUCUCUGUCAUGCUGCAGUUACUGUAUUGUAUUAUAAUGCUGUUACAGUCUGAAAAAAACCCAAUCUCACACUACAAACCUGUCGACUGUUCAUGUGACAAAUGUAAUUUGUGACCAUCGCAUCAAUAUUAGUCAUAUAGCAGUUUCUAUUUUCACAUAUCCUUUAAAUACACAGUAUAGAGUCAUUAACCACUGUCGCCAUCCACCACACAUGUGAGCUCUUUGAACAUUUCAAUUAACCUGUUCAGUGAGACCUGCACAGUAAAGGUGCAAAUUAAAAUUACCAAUUUCCACAAAAAUCAUUUAACUCAGAUUAGCUUCAGGGCCAAAAUUAAAAGCAUGGAUUUGAUGUAUGGUGUUUAAUUGAAAAAGAUUUCCCCACUGUCCAGCUACAAGGUGAGAAGCCAGUCUAUUUGCUAGAACAGUGGUCACAUGUGCAGCUGUCUAGCCAUCUUAUAAAUUAAAGGUAAUGACAAAUAUCUAGCAGGGGCUGCACUGAUUUUUUAAUUAAUACCACAGAGAGAGACGUUUUUAACUUUUUCAUACAGGAGCAGAUGGUAAGUCCACAAAGAACAUCAAUUCUCCCCGGUGCUCCCAAAGCCAAGAUAAAGUCCAACUUCAUUUUCUUACAGAGACUGAGUUAAUGAGGUGAGAGGUUACAACUCCAAAUGGCCAUACAAAGAAUCACCCAGUGGUCUCUGCAGACACUAGAAGUCAGAAGUAAUCCCUAAAACCUUUGAUUUAGUUAAAUUCUCGUCAUUUGUGUUCAGACUGACCCCAAAAAAGGAUUAAAUCCAUGCUUUAAUUUUGUUUCUGUUUGAAAAAACCUUUCUCUGGCGCCAUCCAAUGGUGGGAAAAGAAAAAGACACCACGAUCAGACAGCGUGGGCACAAGAUGAGCGUGCUUCAAGCAACAGGUAGCCAUUGGAGGACAGAAAGGAUGCAAUGUCGACUAAAGAGAAGCUAAACACAUGUUCACUGACAGUCAGAGCAGGACGAUAAUGGCCACCCUUGGACAUUCUGCACCACAGGGCAGCCCUGUGACUUGUCCAGGGUGCCCCCUAGGCUCCAUCACCCCCCGCCAACUUCAAUCGGAUACGUGGAAGAAAAUUCACAGAUGCAUUGCUUUGUUACAACCACUCGAGCAGCAUUAACAGCUCACUACUCCAUUUACCCAAGACUUGGAUUGUCUCUAACUCAUUUACCACC